UACUGGUGGGGUGUGGAAAAAGGGAAGAGGAAGAUGGCAUGGCUGAGUUGGGACAAGAUGAAGCUACCGAAAGCUAUGGGUGGCAUGGGCUUUAGAGAUAUGAGAGCUUUCAACCAUACGCUUCUUGCUAAACAGGCCUAGAGACUUAUCGAUGCACCAGAGAGUUUGUGUGCUAGACUGUUGAAAGCUAAGUACUUUGCUACCGAUCAUCUUCUUGAUACUGUGUUCUCGGGCAAUGGGGUGGCGGUGUGGAAAGGCAUAUUGCAUGGGCUCGAGUUGCUGAAGAAGGGUAUAAUUUGACGCGUUGGGAAUGGGACUCUUAUUCGUACAUGGAGAGAUCCUUGGAUCCCAUGA
rnacentral:rRNA from 1 species